rnacentral:tRNA from 1 species
ACGACCCCCAGGCCGAGGAGCUGGCCCCCUACCGGGAGCAGAUUCCGGUUCUGAAUGUUGGGGGUUCGAGUCCCUUCGGGCGUGCCA